rnacentral:tRNA from 1 species
UUCCUGGUGGCUCAGAUGGUAAAGCGUCUGUCUGCAGUGCAGGAGACCUGGGUUCGAUCUCCGGGUUGGAAA